UACGGGGGGGGCAAGCGUUGUUCGGAAUUACUGGGCGUAAAGGGCGCGUAGGCGGUCUUGUCAGUCCCUUGUGAAAUCCCCCGGCUCAACUGGGGAACUGCAAGGGAAACAGCAGGGCUUGAGUUCGGGAGAGGGAAGCGGAAUUCCGGGUGUAGCGGUGAAAUGCGUAGAUAUCCGGAGGAACACCGGUGGCGAAGGCGGCUUCCUGGACCGAUACUGACGCUGAGGCGCGAAAGCUAGGGGAGCAAACGGG
rnacentral:rRNA from 1 species